AUGAGAAUAUUGGAAAAACUCUCUACAUGGAAACAGCCUCUGGAUACUUCAGGCGGAGAAGAUAUAACAAAGGGCACUCUCAACAGAAAUGAUUGUUACAUUGCCAGAUGGUAUAAGGUCUGGUCUCCUCAUUGCGGAGGGUUCUGCGAUUCUGUUGUUUGGUCACGGGAUGGUGACGGAGAGCAAAAGCAAAGCCUUAACAAGCAUGGUUCAAAGAACUCAAACUUUGCCCUAGACCCUAUAUGUGGUGUGAUAUUGCAGCCAAUGGCAGGAAAGUAGCUUCUGAAAGUGAGGUUGAGCUUCGUUUGUGGAAACCCACUGGGCUACGUGGGAGGGGAGGCUGGUGCAGGUGGUGGCAGCGGAGGCCUCCUGGCCCAGGGGAGCGUGGCCGGAGGCAGCCCAGGGUGCAGUGGACGAGAAGAUGCACAGGGAGGGACGCGUCACUCGUUUCUGAAUGCCCUGACUUCACUCCUGGUUGAGUUGUGUCCUUCAACAGUGGGCAGUCUCCCCUACUGCAUCUUACAUACUGCUGUAUUUAGGCCAGUACCAGGUUUGAAAUAAAAAUCAAGCCCUCCUCUUGUGUGUAGUUCA
rnacentral:lncRNA from 1 species